CACCUAUGUCUCCUCUUUCCUUUGAUCCUGCCUCAGAAGGAGCAUAUGUGAACAGUAUUCUUGCUCAGUAUCCUGCAUCUCUUCCAGAACACGAAGUUGAGACUUCCCAAACAGAAAUGUGAGACGGUUUCUAAGAAAAUACCAGAAUUUGAAAUGGAA